rnacentral:tRNA from 1 species
AAUAAAGUGGCUGAAAUUAAGCAAUAAAUUGUAAAUUUAUAUAUAGAUAAAAAUCUCUUUAUU